ACAGGAAAAGCAACAAAUGAUCAGGAGAAUUGGGGGCUUACCCAGUGAGCGAAGCUUUGGCAAAAAUGUAAAGCCGUGCAGCACAAUGCAAGAGGAGGCCAAGGACUCCCUGCAAAACCUCAACUUCAAGCCUAAAACAGCCUGAAGGUUGAAAAACUGGACUGCUGGCUCCAGAUGAAGUCCACCCUUUCCCAACUGAUUCUUUCUGAAUAAUGCCCACCUGCACACUCAGAGGAUGGGGUGGGGCCAUGCAAGCUCCCUGCCGGGAACCCAGCCUCUUGAGCUCCUAUGUGGUGGGGCAG
rnacentral:lncRNA from 10 species